UCUCCGAUUUAUCCCCUCUCUCUUGGCUCUCUCUCUCUGGUCUCUCUCUCUUAGUCCGUCGCCGUCCUCCUUUUCUGCGUCGCUGGAUCUGCUCUCGCUCAUCUCUCUCCUCCAACUUCCUCCGGUCGCGAAACUCACGGCCGCGAUCUGUAAAGGCGUCUCCGUGAAUCUCACAGAGUCCAAGAUCUCGUUGUGGCUUUCUUGUUCGUGGAGUUUUGAUCUUACAACAGCGUUUCUCUAUCUUCAAAUCCACGGAGCAGCGCCCUCGCGCCUCCGGAUCUCCCCGCUGAAACUUCUCGUCAGUUCCAGAUCUGAAUCACGGCACUGAGAUCCGUCAAAUUGCGAGGUCACGCUUGUGGAGCAUCUGCAGAUCCGCUUCUCCUCCACAUCUCUGAUCUCUCACGUCGUCAAAGACCAGCCUCGCAGCGCCUCUUUGACGCGCCAUCACCAGCGCUGCGUCACCAGCCCAUCGUGUCGCCGUCCCGAGUUUUGAGUUUGCCAAAGUUGAUUCUGCCGUCACGGAGUUCGCUUUAUCAGAUUUCUGAAAAUGAUUUCAGGUUGAAAUGGAUCAUAGUCUGACGUACUAGGAAUCAUAGUCUACUAAAUUAUGGAUCAUAAUCUGGAAGAUUGUGGAUCACUGUUUGCCAAACUUGGAUCAUAGUCUGACAGACUAUGGUCGGCGUCUCGCGCCGAGACCCGCAUCUCAGCAUAACCUGUCAGAUUAUGGAUCAUAACCUGACAGACUAUGGAGCAUGGAGCAUGGUCUGAAGACAUGCUGGACUGCCACCGGAGCACCGGCUGCAGGUUGUCGGAGACCUGCCGUUGGUUGCCAGUGAUCGAAGUUGGCUGCCAGGAGACGGCCAACAUCUUGUAAAUACCUUUGAGAGUGUUUUAGUAAUCUAUAUAUUAGGCCUUUGAUUGGGCUUACUUUAAAGGGGUAAAAAUAAAAAGGCUAAUUUUGGGGGGUUAAUAAUAGUUUGUCCAUUUUGAGGGUAAUUGUAAAAAUCUCUCUAAACCAAGGCCGUGGCGUCAACUAAAAAGCUGGUGGGCCUACUUGGCCCAUCUACUGAAACUCUAUCUUAUACGGGCCAGGUUAAUGACGCACGUUUUCUUGAAUAAGAUGGGCCAGGCGGAAUACAGCCAUUCAGGCGUGCCUUCCAUCUGCCUUCUUUAUUUUUUAUUUUCUACUUUUUUUCUUUUUAAGUGCUGGUGCUUUUCUACCGAAAAAACAUGUAU